GGCAGGUAGAUCACCUGAGGCCAGGAGCUCAAGACCAGCCUGGCCAACAUAGUGAAACUCUGUCUCUACUACAAAUACAAAAAUUAGCUGGGCGUGGUGGCACAUGCCUGUAAUCCCAGCUACUUGGGAGGCUGAGGCAGGAGAAUCACUUGAAACUGGGAGGCAGAAGUUGUAGUGAGCUGAGAUCACACCAUUGCACUCCAGCCUGGGUUCUGCCUGCAGGGAAGAUUGUGACAUAUUGCUGGUCGCAGCACCAGCAUAAUGUUGCUCUUUUGCCUGGGCUCUGCCCUCAAAAGGCAUUGUGAUAUACUGGUGGGCCAAGCUCGAAGAUGAUGAGGAAUUGUGAUGUAUCACCGGGCCCAGCAUGCAGGUAAUGUGACUCUCCUGCAUAGGCCCUGCCCACAGGGGUGACUGUGGAAGAUUGCUGAUCCCAGCUCCUAUGUGACGUGCUGUCCUCCACUGCUUCGGCUCUGCUUAAAAAGGGAAUGUGAUGUAUCUCUUGGUACAGCAUCGAGGUGAUGUCUCUCUCCUUUUCUGCCUGGGCCCUGCAUACUUUGUGUAGUGUAGCAUAUGGCUGAGUCUAAGACCUACUUGGUGUGACUCUCCUGCAUGGGUCCUGCCCACAAGGUAUUGUGACAUAUAUUUUCAUUGAUUACCCAAGUAAUGUGACUCUCAUGUUCUGUUUGGGCCCUGUCAGUAGACAGGAUUGUGACAUGUCACUGGACCCAGUAUCUUGACACUGUCACUUUCCUUUUUUGCCUGAGCCUGCCAUAUUUUGGACAUUGUGACUUAGCACUGGGCCUGACACCUGGGGGAUGAGAGGCUGCUGCAUAGGCCUUACCUACAGUGCACCUUGUGACAUAUCUCUGCAUUCAUCACCUAAAACAUUUGAGUCUUCUUUUUGUCCUGCACCCUGCUCACGAAAAAGACUGUGACAUAUUGCGGGGCCCAGCAACCAGAUGAUGUGUUCUUACUGCCUGGACCUUGCCCAUAGAGAGCAUUGUGACAUAUUGUUUGGCCCAGCAUUCAGGUGACAUGACUCUGCUGCCUGUGACUUGGUUCCAAGAUAGAAUUAUAACAUGCCACUGGCCAAGAACCAAGAUGAUUUGACCCUUCUACUUGGUCCUUGCCCUCCGGAAGAUUGUAACAUAGCCUUGGCUUAUUACCCAGGUGAUGUGACUCUCCUGUUUGCUCCCUACCCACAGGUGAUAUUGUGACAUAUAUCUUGGCCUAGCUUACAAACGGGAUGAUGACUCUCAUAUUUUGAACCAGCCAAUAUCAGAGAUAUUGUCUCCCAUAGCUAGGAUUAGAGAAACAAUUUGGAUUCUGUGCUUUCUUAAUAUAUGAAUGUCAUAAAGCAUUAACCACUCUCUAACA